rnacentral:rRNA from 1 species
AUUGAACGCUGGCGGCAUGCCUUACACAUGCAAGUCGAACGGCAGCACGGGAGCAAUCCUGGUGGCGAGUGGCGAACGGGUGAGUAAAGUAUCGGAACGUGCCCAGUCGUGGGGGAUAACGUAGCGAAAGUUACGCUAAUACCGCAUACGAUCUAUGGAUGAAAGCGGGGGAUCGCAAGACCUCGCGCGAUUGGAGCGGCCGAUAUCAGAGUAGGUAGUUGGUGGGGGAAAGGCUCACCAAGCCGACGAUCUGUAGCUGGUCUGAGAGGACGAGCAGCCACACUGGGACUGAGACACGGCCCAGACUCCUACGGGAGGCAGCAGUGGGGAAUUUUGGACAAUGGGCGAAAGACUGAUCCAGCCAUGCCGCGUGCAGGAUGAAGGCCUUCGGGUUGUAAACUGCUUUUGUACGGAACGAAAAGGUUUGGCCUAAUAAGCUGAGCUCAUGACGGUACCGUAAGAAUAAGCACCGGCUAACUACGUGCCAGCAGCCGCCGUAA